rnacentral:rRNA from 1 species
GAGCUUGCUCUGGUGAUUAGUGGCGAACGGGUGAGUAACACGUGAGCAAUCUGCCCUUGACUCUGGGAUAAGCGUUGGAAACGACGUCUAAUACCGGAUACGACCCUCGGAGGCAUCUCCUGGGGGUGGAAAGAAUUUUGGUCAAGGAUGAGCUCGCGGCCUAUCAGCUAGUUGGUGAGGUAAUGGCUCACCAAGGCGACGACGGGUAGCCGGCCUGAGAGGGUGACCGGCCACACUGGGACUGAGACACGGCCCAGACUCCUACGGGAGGCAGCAGUGGGGAAUAUUGCACAAUGGGCGAAAGCCUGAUGCAGCAACGCCGCGUGAGGGACGACGGCCUUCGGGUUGUAAACCUCUUUUAGUAGGGAAGAAGCGAAAGUGACGGUACCUGCAGAAAAAGCACCGGCUAACUACGUGCCAGCAGCCGCGGUAAUACGUAGGGUGCAAGCGUUGUCCGGAAUUAUUGGGCGUAAAGAGCUCGUAGGCGGUUUGUCGCGUCUGCUGUGAAAACUGGAGGCUCAACCUCCAGCCUGCAGUGGGUACGGGCAGACUAGAGUGCGGUAGGGGAGAUUGGAAUUCCUGGUGUAGCGGUGGAAUGCGCAGAUAUCAGGAGGAACACCGAUGGCGAAGGCAGAUCUCUGGGCCGUAACUGACGCUGAGGAGCGAAAGCGUGGGGAGCGAACAGGAUUAGAUACCCUGGUAGUCCACGCCGUAAACGUUGGGAACUAGAUGUGGGGACCAUUCCACGGUCUCCGUGUCGCAGCUAACGCAUUAAGUUCCCCGCCUGGGGAGUACGGCCGCAAGGCUAAAACUCAAAGGAAUUGACGGGGGCCCGCACAAGCGGCGGAGCAUGCGGAUUAAUUCGAUGCAACGCGAAGAACCUUACCAAGGCUUGACAUAUACGAGAACGGGCCAGAAAUGGUCAACUCUUUGGACACUCGUAAACAGGUGGUGCAUGGUUGUCGUCAGCUCGUGUCGUGAGAUGUUGGGUUAAGUCCCGCAACGAGCGCAACCCUCGUCCUAUGUUGCCAGCACGUAAUGGUGGGAACUCAUGGGAUACUGCCGGGGUCAACUCGGAGGAAGGUGGGGAUGACGUCAAAUCAUCAUGCCCCUUAUGUCUUGGGCUUCACGCAUGCUACAAUGGCCGGUACAAAGGGCUGCAAUACCGUAAGGUGGAGCGAAUCCCAAAAAGCCGGUCUCAGUUCGGAUUGAGGUCUGCAACUCGACCUCAUGAAGUCGGAGUCGCUAGUAAUCGCAGAUCAGCAACGCUGCGGUGAAUACGUUCCCGGGCCUUGUACACACCGCCCGUCAAGUCAUGAAAGUCGGUAACACCCGAAGCCAGUGGCCUAACCCGUAA